rnacentral:rRNA from 1 species
CGACGAUGCGUAGGGGUUCUGAGAGGAAGGUCCCCCACACUGGUACUGAGACACGGACCAGACUCCUACGGGAGGCAGCAGUGAGGAAUAUUGGUCAAUGGGCGGGAGCCUGAACCAGCCAAGUCGCGUGAGGGAUGACGGCCCUAUGGGUUGUAAACCUCUUUUGCCGGGGAGCAAAGUGCCGCACGUGUGCGGUUUGGAGAGUACCCGGAGAAAAAGCAUCGGCUAACUCCGUGCCAGCAGCCGCGGUAAUACGGAGGAUGCGAGCGUUAUCCGGAUUUAUUGGGUUUAAAGGGUGCGUAGGCGGACGCUUAAGUCAGCGGUAAAAUUGCGGGGCUCAACCUCGUCGAGCCGUUGAAACUGGGUGCCUUGAGUGGGCGAGAAGUACGCGGAAUGCGUGGUGUAGCGGUGAAAUGCAUAGAUAUCACGCAGAACUCCGAUUGCGAAGGCAGCGUACCGGCGCCCAACUGACGCUGAAGCACGAAGGCGUGGGUAUCAAACAGGAUUAGAUACCCUGGUAGUCCACGCAGU